AAGAGAAACGGCAGAGCCGCCGCACUGAGAAAUCUCUUUGUCGGUAAGGUCUCAGUUUUCUCCUUUCAUAGCCGAUAGAGGCUCCCUAACUUUGUUUUUCGCAGCUUUCCAUGUUAAAUCGGCCAAAACUGAUCGAAAACGGCCAAACCAAGAGAAAACUCUGCCAUGGGCGGCGAAGCCGGCGCAGGAGCACGGCGCCACCGCCAUGAUAGAACCCUAAACUAGCCG
rnacentral:lncRNA from 1 species